UACGUAGGGGGCUAGCGUUGUCCGGAAUCAUUGGGCGUAAAGAGCGUGUAGGCGGCUUGGUAAGUCCGCUGUGAAAGUCCAGGGCUCAACCCUGGAAUGCCAGUGGAUACUGUCAAGCUAGAGUCCGGAAGAGGCGAGUGGAAUUCCUGGUGUAGCGGUGGAAUGCGCAGAUAUCAGGAGGAACACCAAUAGCGAAGGCAGCUCGCUGGGACGUUACUGACGCUGAGGCGCGAAAGCGUGGGGAGCGAACAGG
rnacentral:rRNA from 1 species